rnacentral:lncRNA from 1 species
CAAAAAACCAAGUGAAAAUGAUACUAGAAAGACUGUUUACCGUUUAACUCCUGUCCCAAUCUAACCUAGUGGCUUCAAAAAGAAGGGACAGCGCUGGAAACAGGAGUGAUUAAAAGGAUCAGCCCUUUUUGAAUUAAUAGUCAAAGUGGUAACCAGCUAGAAGUCGUAACAUG